rnacentral:tRNA from 1 species
GAGAGAGGCCCGGCGGCACCGUAAACUGCUAAUUUUCGUUACCUUGGUUCAACCCCAAGGCUCACUCG